GUGCCAGCCGCCGCGGUAAUACGUAGGGUCCGAGCGUUGUCCGGAAUUAUUGGGCGUAAAGAGCUCGUAGGCGGUAUGUCGCGUCUGCUGUGAAAGACCGGGGCUUAACUUCGGUUUUGCAGUGGAUACGGGCAUGCUUGAGGUAGGUAGGGGAGACUGGAAUUCCUGGUGUAGCGGUGAAAUGCGCAGAUAUCAGGAGGAACACCGGUGGCGAAGGCGGGUCUCUGGGCCUUACCUGACGCUGAGGAGCGAAAGCAUGGGUAGCGAACAGGAUUAGAUACCCCUGUAGUCCC
rnacentral:rRNA from 1 species